GAUGAACGCUGGCGGCGUGCCUAAUACAUGCAAGUCGAGCGAACAGACGAGGAGCUUGCUCCUCUGACGUUAGCGGCGGACGGGUGAGUAACACGUGGAUAACCUACCUAUAAGACUGGGAUAACUUCGGGAAACCGGAGCUAAUACCGGAUAAUAUAUUGAACCGCAUGGUUCAAUAGUGAAAGACGGUUUUGCUGUCACUUAUAGAUGGAUCCGCGCCGCAUUAGCGAGUUGGUAAGGUAACGGCUUACCAAGGCAACGAGGCGUAGCCGACCUGAGAGGGGGAUCGGCGACACUGGAACUGAGACACGGUCCAGACUCCUACGGGAGGCAGCAGUAGGGAAUCUUCCGCAAUGGGCGAAAGCCUGACGGAGCAACGCGGCGUGAGUGAUGAAGGUCUUCGGAUCUUAAAACUCUGUUAUUAGGGAAGAACAAAUGUGUAAGUAACUAUGCACGUAUUGACGGUACCUAAUCAGAAAGCCACGGCUAACUCCGUG
rnacentral:rRNA from 1 species